rnacentral:rRNA from 1 species
CCUACGGGAGGCAGCAGUGGGGAAUAUUGCACAAUGGGGGAAACCCUGAUGCAGCGACGCCGCGUGAGUGAAGAAGUAUUUCGGUAUGUAAAGCUCUAUCAGCAGGGAAGAAAAUGACGGUACCUGAUUAAGAAGCCCCGGCUAACUACGUGCCAGCAGCCGCGGUAAUACGUAGGGGGCAAGCGUUAUCCGGAUUUACUGGGUGUAAGGGGAGCGUAGACGGCAGCACAAGUCUGGAGUGAAAUGCCGGGGCUUAACCCCGGAACUGCAUUGGAAACUGUGCAGCUAGAGUGCAGGAGAGGUAGGUGGAAUGCCUGGUGUAGCGGUGAAAUGCGUAGAUAUUAGGAGGAACACCAGUGGCGAAGGCGGCUUACUGGACUGUAACUGACGUUGAGGCUCGAAAGCGUGGGGAGCAAACAGGAUUAGAUACCCUUGUAGUC